AGAUAAUCUCUCUAUUCAAGAGUUUCAAAGAAAUGAAAAUAUUGAUGUCGAGGUAGUUCAACUUAUCAGCAAUGAGAUACUACCUUAUGCCAAUUUUAUUCCUAAGGAAUUUGUUGGUCAAAUAAUGACAAUGCUUAACAAGGGCUCAAUACAUUCUCAGUCAUCUUCAUUUACAGAAGCAGAGAUUGAUAUUCGUUUGAGAGAGGAAUUUUCUAAAAUGUGUUUUGAAACAUUACUCCAGUUUUCCUUCAGUAAUAAAGUCACAACACCUCAAGAAGGCUACAUCUCACGAAUGGCACUCUCAGUGCUCUUAAAGAGGUCCCAAGAUGUACUACAUCGCUAUAUAGAGGAUGAAAGAUUAAGUGGUAAAUGCCCUCUUCCAAGGUAUAUAUUUCAUUUUAUUAAAGAAAUAAAUGUAUUGUACUAAUUGUUGAUAACAAGGAAAACUCUGAAAAGCAAGUGUUUUUGUAAGUGAUCUGAACUAAGCUGAAGUUGUUUAUAAUCUUAUUUAUCCCAUAUGGUGUAAAUAUUCACAGGUUUUCCUGCAGAUUUAUUAACAUGUUUUAUUAUGGGGUGCAUUUUUAGAUCCCUCAUGGAGAUUAUGUAACAUAUGAUACAUAGGUAC
rnacentral:sRNA from 1 species